AUUGAACGCUGGCGGCAGGCCUAACACAUGCAAGUCGAACGAGUGGCGGACGGGUGAGUAAUGUCUGGGAAACUGCCUGAUGGAGGGGGAUAACUACUGGAAACGGUAGCUAAUACCGCAAACCAUCAGAUGUGCCCAGAUGGGAUUAGCGUGGUGGUGGGGUAACGGCUCACCAAGGCGACGAUCCCUAGCUGGUCUGAGAGGUUGACCAGCCACACGGGAACUGAGACCCUGUCCAGAUCCCUACGGGAGGCAGCAGUGGUGAAUGUUGCACAAUGGGCGCAAGCCUGAUGCAGCCAUGCCGCGUGUAUGAAGACGGCCUUCGGGUUGUAAAGUACUUUCAGCGGGGAGGCGUUACCCGCCGAAGAAGCACCGGCUAACUCCGUGCCAGCAGCCGCGGUAAUUC
rnacentral:rRNA from 1 species